rnacentral:rRNA from 1 species
CCUACGGGGGGCAGCAGUCGAGAAUCAUUCACAAUGGGGGAAACCCUGAUGGUGCGACGCCGCGUGGGGGAAUGAAGGUCUCCGGUCUGUAAACUCUUGUCAUGUGGGAGCAAAUUAAAAAGAUAGUACCAUAAGAGGAAGAGACUGCUAACUCUGUGCCAGCAGCCGCGGUAAUACAGAGGUCUCAAGCGUUGUUCGGAAUCACUGGGCGUAUAGCGUGCGUAGGCGGUUUCGUAAGUCGUGUGUGAAAGGCGCGGGCUCAACCCGCGGACGGCACAUGAUACUGCGAGACUAGAGUAAAGGAGGGGGAACCGGAAUUCUCGGUGUAGCGGUGAAAUGCGUAGAUAUCGGGAGGAACACUCGUGGCGAAGGCGGGUUCCUGGACAGUAACUGACGCUGAGGCACGAAGGCCUGGGGAGCGAAAGGGAUUAGAUACCCCUGUAGUC